rnacentral:misc_RNA from 1 species
UAACCAUCGCGUCGUGAAUUGAACACAUUGGCUUGAAGCUGGAUAACGGCAGAAGGCUGAUCAAGUAAGUUUACGGGGCGGAUUUGGAGGCUUGCCGUGAGAACGGCUCCUCUCGAAAUGCAUUAGCUGUCGAAAGACUUGCGCCGCUGGUGUAGUAAUUUACUUCUCGCCUAUGGCAAUAGACUUAAGAAAGCUCAUAAUCGCCUGCAAGGGCAACAACUUAAG